rnacentral:rRNA from 1 species
CUCAAUGAUAUUAAAUAGCCGCAAAUAUUCCGCGCUAAGGUAGCAUAAUCAUUCGUCUUUUAAUUAAAGACUAGAACGAAAGAUUUAAUAUUUCUACUUCUUUCUUAAAUUUAAAUAUUUAAAUUAUCUUAAAUAUAAAAAGAUAUUUAUAUGAUAAAAAGACGACAAGACCCUAUUGAACUUAACUUAAGUUAAACUGGGGCAGUUAAUUAAAUAUUAUUUUAAUAAAAAUUCAAAAUCAACCUAACACAAUUAAAUUAAUCAAGUUACCAUAGGGAUAACAGCGUAAUAUUUUUCUAAAGCUCUUAUUCAAAAAACAGUUUACGACCUCGAUGUUGAAUUAAUAUUCUACUAAAUGCAAUAAUUAAUAAGAAAGUC